rnacentral:rRNA from 1 species
AGGGUUUGAUUCUGGCUCAGGACGAACGCUGGCGGCGUGCUUUAUACAUGCAAGUCAAGGAGAGAUCUAUUUCUUCGGAAUAGUAGUAAACUGGCGAACGGGUGAGUAACACGUAGGUAACCUACCCUAGAGAUUGGGACAACUUCGGGAAACCGGAGCUAAUACCGAAUGAUGCAAUAGAUCCAUCAGGGUACUAUUGUUAAAGCGGGCUUCGGCUCGCACUUUAGGAUGGGCCUGCGUCCGAUUAGCUUGUUGGUGGGGUAAUGGCCUACCAAGGCAAUGAUCGGUAGCUGGUCUGAGAGGAUGAUCAGCCACACUGGGAUUGAGAUACGGCCCAGACCUCUACGGGGGGCAGCAGUAGGGAAUUUUGCGCAAUGGGCGAAAGCCUGACGCAGCAACGCCGCGUGAUUGAUGAAGCUUCUAGGAGCGUAAAGAUCUGUCGUGAGGGAAGAAAAAUUCGGAGGUAAAUAAUUUUCGUUUUUGACGGUACCUCGCAAGAAAGCACCGGCUAACUUCGUGCCAGCCC